rnacentral:rRNA from 1 species
AUUGAACGCUGGCGGCAUGCCUUACACAUGCAAGUCGAACGGCAGCACGGGAGCAAUCCUGGUGGCGAGUGGCGAACGGGUGAGUAAAGUAUCGGAACGUGCCCAGUCGUGGGGGGUAACGUAGCGAAAGUUACGCUAAUACCGCAUACGAUCUAUGGAUGAAAGCGGGGGAUCGCAAGACCUCGCGCGAUUGGAGCGGCCGAUAUCAGAUUAGGUAGUUGGUGGGGUAAAGGCUCACCAAGCCGACGAACUGUAGCUGGUCUGAGAGGACGACCAGCCACACUGGGACUGAGACACGGCCCAGACUCCUACGGGAGGCAGCAGUGGGGAAUUUUGGACAAUGGGCGAAAGCCUGAUCCAGCCAUGCCGCGUGCAGGAUGAAGGCCUUCGGGUUGUAAACUGCCUUUGUACGGAACGAAAAGGUUUGGCCUAAUAAGCUGAGCUCAUGACGGUACCGUAAGAAUAAGCACCGGCUAACUACGUGCCAGCCGCCGCCGUAA